GGGCUGUGAUGAAGAAAUAAAGAAAGUCAUGCACCACGCUGAGUGAUUAAAAGUGUGCUGAUAAUUCUUUCACACCCAUUUUUAAUCUGAGCCC
rfam:Citrus clementina cultivar Clemenules unplaced genomic scaffold scaffold_5, whole genome shotgun sequence.